rnacentral:rRNA from 1 species
UGGGGAAUUUUGGACAAUGGGCGAAAGCCUGAUCCAGCAAUGCCGCGUGUGUGAAGAAGGCCUUCGGGUUGUAAAGCACUUUUGUCCGGAAAGAAAUGGCUCUGGUUAAUACCUGGGGUCGAUGACGGUACCGGAAGAAUAAGGACCGGCUAACUACGUGCCAGCAGCCGCGGUAAUACGUAGGGUCCAAGCGUUAAUCGGAAUUACUGGGCGUAAAGCGUGCGCAGGCGGUUGUGCAAGACCGAUGUGAAAUCCCGAGCUUAACUUGGGAAUUGCAUUGGUGACUGCACGGCUAGAGUGUGUCAGAGGGGGGUAGAAUUCCACGUGUAGCAGUGAAAUGCGUAGAGAUGUGGAGGGAAUACCGAUGGGCGAAGGCAGCCCCCUGGGAUAACACUGACGCUCAUGCACGAAAGCGUGGGGAGCAAACAGGAUUAGAUACCCUGGUAGUCC